CAGCCGCCGCGGUAAUACGUAGGGUGCAAGCGUUAAUCGGAAUUACUGGGCGUAAAGCGUGCGCAGGCGGUUCGUUAAGACAGAUGUGAAAUCCCCGGGCUUAACCUGGGAACUGCAUUUGUGACUGGCGGGCUAGAGUAUGGCAGAGGGGGGUAGAAUUCCACGUGUAGCAGUGAAAUGCGUAGAGAUGUGGAGGAAUACCGAUGGCGAAGGCAGCCCCCUGGGCCAAUACUGACGCUCAUGCACGAAAGCGUGGGGAGCAAACAGGAUUAGAUACCCCCGUAGUCCUGUCUCUUAUACA
rnacentral:rRNA from 1 species